AACGCGAAGAACCUUACCUGGGCUCGAAAUGUAGUGGACUGGGGUAGAAAUAUCCCUUUCUCGCAAGAGACUGCUAUAUAGGUGCUGCAUGGCUGUCGUCAGCUCGUGUCGUGAGAUGUUGGGUUAAGUCCCGCAACGAGCGCAACCCUUAUCCCUAGUUGCCAUCGGGUCAAGCCGGGCACUCUAGUGAAACCGCCCCGGAUAACGGGGAGGAAGGUGGGGAUGACGUCAAGUCCUCAUGGCCUUUAUGUCCAGGGCCACACACGUGCUACAAUGGGCGGUACAAAGCGCUGCCAACCCGCGAGGGGGAGCUAAUCGCCAAAAACCGUCCUCAGUUCGGAUUGCAGGCUGCAACUCGCCUGCAUGAAGCUGGAAUCGCUAGUAAUGCUAUAUCAGAACGAUAGCGUGAAUACGUUCCCGGGCCUUGUACACACCGCAUAC
rnacentral:rRNA from 1 species